rnacentral:lncRNA from 1 species
GGGGGGGGGGGGUUUUUUUUUUUUUUAAAAUCCUGUUUUCAGGGAAAACAAUUUACUCGAUAGCAGAAAUGUAGAUCUUGGCAGUAUGGAGAAACGUGUUCAGAACCUUCUGGGCAAAGAAGCAGCCUUGCAGCAUGACACAUAUGACACAUGGACUGGUGAAGAUGAACACAUUUCGCCCAAGAAGUUGGGCAAUAGCAAAUUAUCACAGCAAGACUCCACAGUUGCAGCAGAAACAAAAGCUGGAUGUUUGGACACAAGUGUCCAAGACGAGCAUGACGCUGAUCGUAAAGCUGAUGAAGAACCUGACCUUCUCACUGCUGUUUUCUCUGCAGUCUCCACAAAAAAUUCCCUGGCUAGACGCAUGGCUCACAAUACCUUGAUACAUGACCAUGGCCAAACGCAGCAAGGGAGCCCUGUGCCGAGCAAGGCAAUAACUAGGCCUUCCACAGCAUACUUCCCUUCAACUGCAGACACCAAAGAACUGGUCAAGAACAAAACACCAGAAAUUAAGGUUGAGGAAGAAGUGAAAUCAGUGCCUUCAGCCAUUGAAUUCUUUGUUAACACUGAAGAUGCAGCAAGCAUUAAUUCUUAUUCUGGAGCACAAGCAGGUGCAGACAGUGAGUCAAAAGAUGUUUCUGAUCCAGCUUUUUCAAAAAACAGCAAGACAUCACAAAUAGGAAAAGGACCAAUGAGAAUUUUGGGAGCUUCGAUUUUCAGAUCCAUUGGAAGGUGGAAGGCAAUGAAGAAAUCCUAAGAAACAUCAUCAUCAAAAUAUAAAAUGGUUCUGUAGAUCGUUUUCAUGGCUGGGGUGAAGUUGAAAAGACAUCUUCGUGGGCAAUUAGAAGUGAGACACAAGAUGCAGUGUCGCAUUUUGAUUUACUUGAAAGGAGCAAAGAUCUUCCAUUUAAUUUCACAUCAUUAAUUAAAUUUGUGAAAGAACAAACAAGGGGGAUUUUUGGGGCAUUUUUUUUUAAUAUCAAAGGAAGAUGAACCAACAUUUUUACGCAUUUAUGGAUGUCCAUACAUGUGGCAAGGUAGUAAUUGUUUAUUAACGAAUGGAACACGUAAGCCAGGUUAGAGCUGGCUGUUAGUCCAGGAGUUGAAGUUUUGUCCCAUUUUGCACUGGUUAAUGCGGCUUCAAUUCCGACUGCUGCUGAAUAUAUUCGUGAUAUAUAUCACGAACCUGCGCAUGUAUGGCAAGUAUGCUUAUGCACCUCUUAACAUGUAUUGAGGAAGCUGUUCAUCCUGAAGUCGACCAAAUUAGGGUAAUUUACAGUUAUUCCCCCCCCCCCCCCAGAGCAGUUUAUAGGUGUAUAUUUCACACCUUGUUAUAAUUUCAGAUUUAAAUUAUCAACAGCACUUAAUCCAAUGAGUUGGUGAAUGUCAAAGAGCUCGAUUACAUUUGUUUAAUUCGAAACUACUUUAAUGGUCAAGCUUUCACUUAAUGAAGAUGUAUUAUGCUAUUCUUAUACCUGCAUGUAGUGUUUGAGAUGAACAGGUAGCAAGUGUGUGUUGAGCAGUGCUCAAAUAACAGAUUAAUAUGCCAUAGGAUACAUCAGGUGUCAAUUUCAUUAAAACGCGGGCCUUCUUUAUAGUGUGGCAAAUAUGUCAAAGCAUAAUGGCAUUUGUUAAACAACUUUUGAGGAUACAAUAUACAUAUUUGACAAAGAUUUAUUGAUCAAUUUGGUGUGCUGGUUGCAUCAUUACUGAGGUGCAGCUUUACACUGACUGAUGCACCGUUCCCCUUUAGAUUAGGCAGAUAUGUGGAAUGUGGCCAGAAUAGAACACACUGACCUACCCCUUUUGAGAAUUGUCAUGAGGCCUUUAAUGUUCGCAAGUGUGAAUUACAUACUGGACAACCCGCUUAAUAUCCUCUCCAAAGGAUGAUGUGUCAAAUGUAGAAUGGUGUCAUGGCAUAUUUCUUUUGAUUUUUUUAUUGGAAUGGCAAGAAUCUUUGUAGAUAUGUGGAAGCAUAGUUCUUGCAUGCCUAUCACAAUAAGCACCUGAAUCUGCAGGUACAAACUUUCCAAAACCCCUGCUUGUAAGAUGUUUCAAAUUGGAAAAUAUAAAUGACGUAUGUUGAUGUAAUGAUGGUUUUAUUUUGAAAACCUUGGUGUGCUCAGGAAUUAAAUUCUGGGGAAAUGCAUUUACCUUUGUUACUGACCAGUAAUUAUACAAAACAAACUGCACUAUGGAACAAAACACUUUUGAAAUAUUGAAAUUCCGAAUAAAUUUCUUUCUUUCAGAAGAGUAAUCAUGUAAAAAUUUAUAUUGUGAUAAUUGUGG